rnacentral:rRNA from 1 species
CCUACGGGGGGCAGCAGUGGGGAAUAUUGGACAAUGGGCGCAAGCCUGAUCCAGCCAUGCCGCGUGAGUGAUGAAGGCCCUAGGGUUGUAAAGCUCUUUCACCGGUGAAGCGGUAACCGGAGAAGAAGCCCCGGCUAACUUCGUGCCAGCAGCCGCGGUAAUACGAAGGGGGCUAGCGUUGUUCGGAUUUACUGGGCGUAAAGCGCACGUAGGCGGACUUUUAAGUCAGGGGUGAAAUCCCGGGGCUCAACCCCGGAACUGCCUUUGAUACUGGAAGUCUUGAGUAUGGUAGAGGUGAGUGGAAUUCCGAGUGUAGAGGUGAAAUUCGUAGAUAUUCGGAGGAACACCAGUGGCGAAGGCGGCUCACUGGACCAUACUGACGCUGAGGUGCGAAAGCGUGGGGAGCAAACAGGAUUAGAUACCCUUGUAGUC